rnacentral:lncRNA from 1 species
CACUUCACUCCCACCUUAUCUCUGUAAUCUCAUUUUCCUCAUACUAACCUGCUGAAUACAAAAAAGAAACCAGUGAGAGUUUACUUGGUAAUGGGGUCAUCACAGUCUAGCAAUCAUGACAAAGAUGAAAACCUUACAGCAAUUCUCACACUUUUGUUCAUGGUGUUUACUCUGCUCUGGUACUACUGGAUUUGGAAGAAACCGAGCAGAAACCCUACACCUCCAUUGCCACCAGGACCUCGUGGCCUGCCGCUACUCGGAUACCUUCCAUUUCUUGGUGCAGAUCUUCACGUAGAAUUCACAGACAUGGCAAAGGUUUAUGGCCCAAUUUACAAACUCCAACUUGGCACCAAGUUGUGCAUUGUGGUCAGCUCACCUGAGCUAGUGAAACAAGUGGUUCGUGACUAUGACACAACAUUUGCAAACCGUGAUCCUACAAUUGCUGCUCUGAUUGCCUCAAAUGGAGGAACCGACAUCGCGUUUGGAUCCUACGGUCCAUAUUGGAGGAAGCUGCGCAAGAUGUUUGCGAGUCAGAUGCUAAGCAAAACCAAUCUUGAUGAUUGUUAUGCUCUGAGAAAAGAGGAGAUGCACAAGUCGAUCGGUCAGGUUUAUCAUGACAAAAUUGGAACCCCAACUGACUUGGCCCAGUUUGCAUUUUCCACAUCAAUCAACACAACCAUGCGUAUGCUAUGGGGUGCCACUCUACAAGGAGAGAAGGGGGGUGACUUUGGGGAAGAGUAUAGAAAAGUUGCGGCAGAAAUGAUAGACCUACUCGCAAAACCAAACAUCUCGGACUACUUUCCUGCGCUUGCAAGGUUUGACAUACAAGGAAUAGAGAGGCAAGCAAAGAAAGUUCAAUCCAAGAUUGACAAGAUUCUAACUUGUGCCAUAGAAGAAAAGAUGAAGAAGCUGGCCUCAGCUGAGAACAAUAACAGGAAGGACUUUCUGCAGUUCCUCUUGGAGAACACUAACACUCCUGAAGAUGGUUCACUAUCCCUUACGGUGCAACAACUGAAGGGCACGCUCACGGUAUGGUAUCUUAACUUUUGGCUAAUUGUUUGUUUGGAACUUGGAAGUUGUUUUUUUUUUAUCGUAUCAAGUUUCAUAAGUUACGGUUUAUAUCAACUGCAGGAUAUUGUGGUGGGUGGAACUGACACUACGGCAACAGUAGUGGAAUGGGUUCUGGCUGAGCUGAUGCAGCACCCAGAAGAAAUGAUAAAAGUUCAAGAAGAACUAACACAAAUUGUGGGGUUGAACAACUUGGUUGAAGAGUUUCAUUUGCCUGACUUACAUCACUUAGAUGCUGUGAUCAAGGAGACGUUUCGCUUGCACCCUGUACUCCCCCUUUUAGUGCCCCGGUGUCCAACCCAAUCUACCACCAUUGGUGGCUAUUACAUACCAAAAGGUUCCACUGUUUUUCUGAAUGCUUGGGCCAUACAGAGAGAUCCAAGUGUUUGGGAAGCUCCCUUGGAAUUUAGACCCCAGAGAUUCCUAAAUCCUAGCAAUAAGUUUGAUUACUUGGGUAAUAAGUUUCAGUUUCUUCCAUUUGGUUCAGGGAGAAGAAUUUGUCCUGGGAUUUCCUUAGCAGAGAGGAUGCUAAUCUAUGUAUUGGCUUCAUUCUUGCAUUCGUUCGAUUGGAAAUUGCCUAAUGACGAAAAGCUUGACCUCUCAGACAAAUUUGGACUUGUGACAAGGAAGAAGACUCCACUUACUGCUGUACCAACAGCCAGGUUAUCCAAUUUGGAGCUCUAUGCUUAAAAGCAUUCGCCUAAGUGCGAAUUUUAAACAUGCAGCAAGCACUUAUCUUAGCUAUAGGAGUUUCUGCUCCAACUGUUCCCUAAUUCUUAAUUCUACUGUGCUUCUAUAUAUAUGUUGUAACGAAAACAGUGCACCCGGUGCGCCGCUCACCCAUCCAUCUCCGCCGUCCAUUUUGAAAAAGUCAAAAAUCCGCGUCAAAUGGACGGCGGAGAUGGACGAGUGCGCUGAAUAUGCUCUCAUGUUGUAAGAAUAAAUGGAGAAAGUAGGAUAAUAAACAUAUUUUCUGGUUUCUCUAUGCUUGGCUAUAUAUGUUUCUGACUUUCUGCUCCAACCAACUGCAGUACAUAUUCUUAUGUGGUUAAGCAAUUGCAGAAUGGCUACAACUACAGGUAACAUGACUAAAACUAUGAGUGUUCGACCCAGUGAAAAGAAAACUGUUGAGACUGAAAAUAAUCGUUUUUCGACUUCUGAGGUACAAAGCCAUUUCUUUGCGUCUUCUUCAGUAAAUGGUGAGAUGUUACGGUAAAUUAAUGGACUGUUGAUGAGGUUACAGCUUGCCAAACAUCGAUCAUGAGGGUAGCUGCAGCCAUAUAUCUAUCAGAGAAAGUCAUGUCAUCCCUCGGAAGCUAAUUUCAAACUGGAAGAUCAUAGAUCGAUGAAAGCAGAGGAAAUCCAACGCCGUAUAUAACUACAGCGUAGACAAAUCUAGAAUUCUAGAUAGGCCAUAUAUCAUAUAUGGCAUGCCAAUUUGCAAGCUAGUGCAGUUGAUCAUGGAAGCGCAAUGGAUAACGACCAGUAUAUAACGUAGCCUUAACCAUUCUUAUACGCAGCCAAUCCAGCUACAGUGGUGUUUUCACUAGAUGGAAAUCCAUACCUUAUCUCAAUGAUCCCAAUGACCAUAAAGACUUCACUCUCACCUUAUCUCUAAUCUCAUUUUCUUCCCACCAGGAAAAAAGAAAAGCUUAUCUUUCAUUCUUUCAUUUACAACCAGACUAACCUGCUGAAUACAAAAAACAAAACAGUGGGAGUUUACUUAGUAAUGGGGUCAUCACAGUCUAGCAAUCAUGACAAAGAUGAAAACCUUACAGCAAUUCUCACACUUUUGUUCAUGGUGUUUACUCUGCUCUGGUACUUCUGGAUUUGGAAGAAACCGAGCAGAAACCCUUUGCCUCCAUUGCCACCAGGACCUCGUGGUCUGCCGCUACUCGGAUACCUUCCAUUUCUUGGUGCAGAUCUUCACCUAGAAUUUACUGACAUGGCAAGGGUUUAUGGUCCAAUUUACAAACUCAAACUUGGUACCAAGUUGUGCGUUGUGAUCAGCUCAC